rnacentral:rRNA from 1 species
CCCUCUUUAUCAAAAACAUCUCUUUUUCUUUAUCAUUUAAACUCUCCCCUCCCCAAUCAUUAUUUCAAUCCCCCCACUAUUUUCACUCUCCAAACCUAGCAUAAUCAUUACUUUUUUAAUUCCAACCUCCAAUCAAACCUUUCAUCACAAAAUAACUCUCUCCCUCUCAAUCUUUUACAAUUUUAUUUUUCACUAACAAACCUUAAAUUUUUUAUCAACACCACAACACCCUAUACACUUUUAUAUUUUUCCAUUUACUUUAAUUAACCAUUUACUUUUAUUUUAUUUCUCCAUUUAUUUUCUUCCCCUCACAACCAAAUUCCUUAAACUUUUCCUUUUUCUUAACAUUCAUUCAUCAUUAUAUCAUCCUCAUUUUUCCAUUAUAACAUUAAAUUACCUUACCCAUAACACCCUAAUUUUUUUCUACACUUCUUAUCCAUAAAAAACUUUCCCACCUCCAUCUUCCAUUAAAAUUUAAUUUUCCUCAACAACCUCAACGUUUCCCUCUCUUCCACCUUUAAAAUUUUACCUCAUCUCACUUCACACCCG